rnacentral:rRNA from 1 species
AUACGGUGAAUACGUUCCCGGACCUUGUACACACCGCCCGUCAAGCCAUGGAAGUUGGGUGUACCUAAAGUCGGUAACCGCCAAGGAGCCGCCUAGGUAAACCAGUAACCUGGGCU